GAUGAACGCUGGCGGCGUGCCUAAUACAUGCAAGUCGAGCGAAUGGAUUAAGCGCUUGCUCUUAUGAAGUUAGCGGCGGACGGGUGAGGAACACGUGGGUAACCUGCCCAUAAGAAUGGGAUAACUCAGGGAAACCGGGGCUAAUACAGGAAAACAUUUUGAACCGCAUGGUUCGAAAUUGAAAGGCGGCUUCGGCUGUCAUUAAUGGGUGGACCCGGGUCGCAUUAGCUAGUUGGUGAGGUAACGGCUCACCAAGGCAACGAUGCGUAGCCGACCUGAGAGGGUGAUCGGCCACACUGUGACUGAGACACGGCCCAGACUCCUACGGGAGGCAGCAGUAGGGAAUCUUCCGCAAUGGACGAAAGUCUGACGGAGCAACGCCGCGUGAGUGAUGAAGGCUUUCGGGUCGUAAAACUCUGUUGUUAGGGAAGAACAAGUGCUAGUUGAAUAAGCUGGCACCUUGACGGUACCUAACCAGAAAGCCACGGCUAACUACGUGCCAGCCGCCGCCGUAA
rnacentral:rRNA from 1 species